CCCCCUUCCGGCUGGGCGGCGAGACCGGCCGGCUCCCAGCCGCAGAAGCCCGCUCAGGAGGAUUCAAGCCGGGCCACGAGCGUCCACAUUGCCAUGAUUAAGUUGGAGGAAAUUUCUGAAGACACCAGAAAGAGCAGCCGAUGACAAAGCGACGCCGCGAAGCCCGCGGCCCGUGCUGCGGCGCAGGCGGACGCUUCGGCGGCUGCGGCUGGAAUUACCCGGGAAUUGCCAUCCUGCCUUUAGGAGUCUCCCCCUCCCGCGAUCCCGGACGGGCAACGCUCAUCUCCUGGAAAACGUGGGUUCAGGAUCAAAUUACGGCAACUCUACCUUGAACAGCAAGCAACUAACACAGAGGCCAGGCCAGGCACCAAACAGAGGAGCAAAAUAACCGCGGGGGGCAGGUUUAAUCCUGCUUUGCCACUUGAGACUUUCUUCCCUGCCAUGCACAAAGACAAACGCACAGCUGAUGGCAGAAGAGGACACGGUAAAGUAACUGUAGGAAGAUGCAAGACUAGUUUUCUUUUCCUUCUACCGCUGCACGGGCUGCACGAGCCCUCCUUGGGGGCUGGCCGCCCCUGCACCCGCGCGAUGGCAGCCCUGACUUCUGUAUGUGGGGGAAGCUAAUAAAUCAAUGAUGGGUACGAGUUAUCUUUCUUCAACAUGUGUAGAUCACAUGGGGAUUUACUGUGUGAAUUAUUGCCCCAUGGAGCCAAGGGAAGAAUUUGUGUUUAGGAUACUAAGUUCUUAUUUCACAACUUAAAAGAAUAAGAAAUAUAGUUCAAGAGAGACAGUAGAAACUUCCUUGCCUAAACAUAUGCUUUUUUUUUCCUUUGAUUUAUUAUUCAGAUUUAUAAAUAUACUCUUUUCAGUGUUUGAGUUACACAUUUUCUCUGUUAAAAAACAGGAAUUAAUCUUUAACCACAAUGUCUUGAUUAAAGCUUUUUUUUUUUUUUCUUUUUCCUGAGCACCAUUUUCUUUGCUGCCUUUCCAGCUCCUGGAAUUUAGAGGUUACAUGACUAAAUUCUGCCUGCUGCCAUGAACUGAUAUUUCUAAACCAAGAUUACUCUUUUUGGCUCUUGCAUAGAAUACCAUAAAAUCCAAUCAGAGUAUCUGUAUUGACUGAACCUUACUUUAAAACUAACCACGGAGGCUCAGCAUGCCUUUUUCGCGCAGAACACACACACUGAAGACAGCUUUGAGAGCAGCCAAAAACUGCAGGAUUACUCCAAGGACGUUUGGACGAACGGCUCCAGAGGAGAAGUACUAAGCAAACAGGGACUUCAGUAGUCUAGAAUUCAGCCUUUGAGUAAUACUGUAUGUAGAGUAAGUUCUCAUCCCAACAUACCAUAUUAUGAUUGAUUAAUCAUUACAUCAUAUGGAGGAGUUUUCAGGCUGAUGGUGGCUUUUUCUGUAUGUUUUGCAAGAAUAAAUAUGGUAAUCACUGAUA